GAUGAACGCUGGCGGCGUGCCUAAUACAUGCAAGUCGAACGAAACUUCUUUAUAACCGAGUGCUUGCACUCACCGAUAAAGAGUUGAGUGGCGAACGGGUGAGUAACACGUGGGCAACCUGCCCAAAAGAGGGGGAUAACACUUGGAAACAGGUGCUAAUACCACAUAACCAUAGUUACCGCAUGGUAACUAUGUAAAAGGUGGCUAUACUACCGCUUUUGGAUGGGCCGGCGGCUCAUUAGCUAGUUGGUAGGGUAAAGGCUUACCAAGGCAAUGAUGCGUAGCCGAAUUGAGAGGUUGAUCAGCCACAUUGGGACUGAGACACGGCCCAAACUCCUACGGGAGGCAGCAGUAGGGAAUCUUCCACAAUGGGCGAAAGCCUGAUGGAGCAACGCCGCGUGGGUGAAGAAGGUCUUCGGAUCGUAAAACCCUGUUGUUAGAGAAGAAAGUGCGUGAGAGUAACUGUUCACGUUUCGACGGUAUCUAACCGGAAAGCCACGGCUAACUACGUG
rnacentral:rRNA from 1 species